rnacentral:rRNA from 1 species
AUUGAACGCUGGCGGCAGGCCUAACACAUGCAAGUCGAGCGAGAGGCGGACGGGUGAGAAAAGUAUGGGGACAGCCCCAUAGAGGGGGGGAACUACAGGAAAAGCUAGCUAAUACCGCAUACUAUCGGAUAACCCAUAUGGGAUUAGCUAGUAGGGGGGGUAAUGGCUCACCUCGGCGCCGAGCCCUAGCUGGUCUGAGCGGAUGAUCAGCCACACUGGGACUGAGACACGGCCCAGACUCCUCCGGAGGCAGCAGUGGGGAAUAUUGCACAAUGGGCGCAAGCCUGAUGCAGCCAUGCCGCGUGUAUGAAGAAGGCCCUAGGGUUGUAAAGUACUUUCAGUCGGGAGGCGUUACCCACAGAAGAAGCACCGGCUAACUCCGGGCCAGCAGCCGCGGUAAUUC